GAAGGGGGGCAGUUGUCCACUCCACUGGCGAGCAACGUGCGACGCGUCAAGCUCUGCUUUGUGGCGCAAAUCGGUGGCGCGUGAAACUGGACUGAUGAGAUGAUGAUGUCUUCAUGCCUUCCAGUUCGAUGCAUACUCGCCCAGAAGUCCUUCGCGUGUGUCUUCACCAUAUAACGGUUAAUGCAAAUCCAUCUUGAUCGAGUGAUGCAAGAUUGUCAACUGAAAAAACACGAGGGGGCCCCAGUACUCUACUGACUAGUAGAUCCUCACUCGUGGCCACAACUCGCCAAUAGGCCAAUACCACCUCCCCUGCCGGUCUGCCGCCCAAAGGCCAUCUCCUCUUCGAAACCCUAGCAACCACCAAAUAGCUGACCCUGAUGAAGCGAGCAACCGCCAACACCAACCCUUCGUUGGCCGGACAAGAUUAGAAGAAUAAGGGGGUCCCGGAGGGGCAUACACUACACAUUGUCUUGGAAAAAAAAACAAUUCCGCCGCAUGUGACCAUGCAUUGCAAAAGGAUUUGGUCCUUCAAGAUCGAGUUGUCAACGUCGAGAAGAACUGAAAAUAUCUCAGGAUCAACCGCCAUAAUUGCGCCAACGAGCCAAACAGGCAAUUUGUGGAGACAUACCCAAUCCCUUAGCUUAAAAGUACCCAGGUUUGCAUUAUGCUUGAAGAAAAAACAGACCUUAACAAAAACUACAGAGUAUGUUAACCAAAAAUAAAAAUACAUGGGAUUACUUAUGAAGUGAAAGGAAAGGCAAAGGCAAUUAUUUGUACUGGUGUUCU